UACAGAGGUCUCAAGCGUUGUUCGGAUUCAUUGGGCGUAAAGGGUGCGUAGGCGGCGCGGUAAGUCGGGUGUGAAAUCUCGGAGCUUAACUCCGAAACUGCAUUCGAUACUGCCGUGCUUGAGGACUGGGAGGAGACUGGAAUUUACGGUGUAGCGGUGAAAUGCGUAGAUAUCGUAAGGAAGACCAGUGGCGAAGGCGGGUCUCUGGACAGUUCCUGACGCUGAGGCACGAAGGUCAGGGGAGCAAACGGG
rnacentral:rRNA from 1 species